rnacentral:rRNA from 1 species
AACGAACGCUGGCGGCAUGCCUAACACAUGCAAGUCGAACGACACCUUCGUGUCUAGUUGCGCACGGGUGCGUCACGCGGCGGAACCUGCCCGUAUGUUCGGAAUAACUCCCCGUAAGGGGGGCUAAUACCGGGAAAUGUCUGCUGACCCAAGAUUCAUCGCCUUUGGUGGGGCCGGCGUUGGUUUCGCUGGUUGGUAGGGUAAAAGCCUACUAAGGCUAAGAUCGAUAGCUGGUCAGAGAGAAUCAUCCGCCACACUGGGACUGUGACACGGUCCAGACUCUUAGGGGAGGCAGCAGUGGGGAAUAUUGGACAACGGGGGAAGGCAUGAUGCAGCAAGGCCGGGAGAGUGAUGAAGUCGUGAGGGUUGUACAGCACUUUUACCCGCGAUGAUAAUGACGGUACCGGGAGAAUAAGCACCGGCUAACUCCGUG